rnacentral:rRNA from 1 species
CGGACGGGUGAGGAAUACAUCGGAAUCUACUCUGUCGUGGGGGAUAACGUAGGGAAACUUACGCUAAUACCGCAUACGACCUACGGGUGAAAGCAGGGGAUCUUCGGACCUUGCGCGAUUGAAUGAGCCGAUGUCGGAUUAGCUAGUUGGCGGGGUAAAGGCCCACCAAGGCGACGAUCCGUAGCUGGUCUGAGAGGAUGAUCAGCCACACUGGAACUGAGACACGGUCCAGACUCCUACGGGAGGCAGCAGAA